rnacentral:rRNA from 1 species
UACGGGGGGAGCAAGCGUUGUUCGGAUUUACUGGGCGUAAAGGGCGCGUAGGCGGCCACCGCAAGUCGACUGUGAAAUCUCCGGUCUUAACCCGGAAAGGUCAGCCGAUACUGCGGGGCUAGAGUGCAGAAGGGGCAACUGGAAUUCUCGGUGUAGCGGUGAAAUGCGUAGAUAUCGAGAGGAACACCUGCGGCGAAGGCGGGUCUCUGGGCAACAACUGACGCUGAGGAGCGAAAGCGUGGGGAGCGAACAGG